AAGUCGUAACAAGGUUUCCGUAGGUGAACCUGCGGAAGGAUCAUUAACGAGUUUUGAAGUGGGUCUGAUGCUGGCCUUCCCAGGCAUGUGCUCGUCCUACUCUUCAUCCACUCACACCUGUGCACCUAUAAACGUUGGAAGAUUCAUCCCCUAGACUCUUAGGGGUGCUGUCGAAGGAAACUUUGGCAGUUGGGUUGAUUCUCUUGCGUUUACCUUUAUAAACUCUUGAAUGUCAUAGAAUGUCUAAUGGCCUACGGGCUUGAAAUGAAAUACAACUUUCAACAACGGAUCUCUUGGCUCUC
rnacentral:misc_RNA from 1 species